GACGAACGCUGGCGGCGUGCUUAACACAUGCAAGUCGAACGGAAAGGCCCUGCUUUUGUGGGGUGCUCGAGUGGCGAACGGGUGAGUAACACGUGAGUAACCUGCCCUUGACUGUGGGAUAACUUCAGGAAACUGGGGCUAAUACCGGAUAGGAGCUCCUGCUGCAUGGUGGGGGUUGGAAAGUUUCGGCGGUUGGGGAUGGACUCGCGGCUUAUCAGCUUGUUGGUGGGGUAGUGGCUUACCAAGGCUUUGACGGGUAGCCGGCCUGAGAGGGUGACCGGCCACAUUGGGACUGAGAUACGGCCCAGCCUCCUACGGGAGGCAGCAGUGGGGAAUAUUGCACAAUGGGCGGAAGCCUGAUGCAGCACCGCCGCGUGCGGGAUGACGGCCUUCGGGUUGUAAACCGCUUUCGCCUGUGACGAAGCGUGAGUGACGGUAAUGGGUAAAGAAGCACCGGCUAACUACGUG
rnacentral:rRNA from 1 species